CAUCAUGCUAAGUGGAAUAAGCCAAACCCAGAAAGUCAAGGGUCAAAUGUUUUCUCUCACAUGCAGAAGCUAGACCAAAAUCAGGAUAAAAAGAUGAGGGUACCCCAUGAAAAUUGAAGGGAGAUUAGUGGAGUAGAAGAAGGAGAUUGAGAGGAUAGGAGGGGGAAAGGACAGGAAAAGGGAGAAAUAUGGAAUCAAAUUAACCAAAUUAUGCCAAGUAUAUAUGUAAAUGAACCACAGUGAAUUGUCAUUUAUGGAUAUCUAUAAAUCACUAAUUAAGAAAACUAUAAAUAAAUAGGAGAAAGACCAAUGGAGUAAAGGAAAAGAAACAGAGAGAAAGGGGGAUGGAAAGAGGAAGCCCUGGGGACUGCAGAGGGCAAAGUAUGUCCCGUUCACGUAUGAUGAUGUCAAAAUGAGCCCCCUUAUUAAGUAUGACAUUAACAAUAUAUUAACUAUAACUAUAAUGCUCUACUAAAAUAUAUUUUUUAAUUUACAACUGUAAGCCUAUCAUAUCUUGUCUAAAAUAAAGUGGCUCAGAGAGGUUGAAAGUAAAAGAUAGGAAAAGGUAUAUCAAAGUAUGUCUACAAGUAUCAGAAGAAUUUGGUUAAAGUGAAAUAUAAAAUAGGACAAAGAAUAUUACAGAACAUGGUCCAAAGAGGGCAAACAAGUAAGAGUCUGAAGUGGUAAGUAACAAAGCACCGGAAAUGUCUUUAUAAAACUAACUGUAAACAGAGUGAGGGUUGUAAAAAUAAUAUUUCAAUAAAUUUGGAAGGUUUGAGUUUUGGUUCAGAAGAGUCAAUAUUUUCAGAGACUGUACACCUGAAUCAAUUUAUAAAUUCUGUGUUAUUUCAGUCAUAAUCUUGACAUAUAGGCUUUGUUUUGUUCUUGUAUUUGCUUUUGUUUUUUAGCUUAGAUAAAGAUAAAAACUUGAGAAACAUUGUCAUCAACAUUCUGAGAAAGAAGAAUAAAGACAAUAUCAUUGGUCUUCUAGACAUCAAAAUGUUCUUAAAGAUAAAAUAAUAAUUUAAAAUCAUGCAACCCAGAAAAACAAAGGGAAAUAAAUGUUAGAAUCAAUGGAGUAGAAUAGUACAGGAACAGAACCAGACAUAUGUGAGAACUUAGUUAGGAUGAGGGCAGAAUUUCCAAUAAAUGAGAAAAUCUGAUUAUAUCAUUAAUGUCUUGGGGAAAACUAGAUAACUACAGAGAAAAAAAUAGCUUUCUCACUUUGAAAUAUUUCCAAAUGAUUGAGGAACAUAAACAUAAAAAUGAAAUAAUAAUUAGGAACAAGAAAGGUAAAUAUUUUGAAACAUCUGCAUGGGUAAGCUUUUUCUAAGAAACACCGUGGAUGGUAUGAUUUCAGAUUUUGUUUUUCUCUUUAAUUUCGAGGUUAGAUCUUUUUAAAAUGAGAAAAUCUCAAAUGCUUUAAGUAUAUUUGAAAACAACUUUACUGAAAUUUAAUUCUUAUAGAAUAAAUGACAUACAUUUUUAAGUGUAGAGAUAAGUUUUGCUAUAUGUACACACCCAUGUUGCCAUUUUCAUAAUUAAGGAAUAUGACACUUCCACCAUAGCACAAUGUUCCCUUACACACUCUGCCAGUCAAUGCCCACUUGUCACUGCCAUCCCUAAGUUAACAAGAAUCUGUUUUCUUCCAUUAUAGAUUAGAUUUAUUUGUCUUGAAGUUUUUCACAAAAGGAAUUGAUUCUAUAAUAUGUAAUAUUUUGCAUCUGUUUCUUUCACUCAAGGUAAGUAGUUUGAGAUUUAUUCAUGUUGUUCCAGUUUUGAUAAUUUAUUCCUCUUUAUACCCAUUAAAUUUAUGGAAGUGAUAUGCUACCACUUGUUUGUUCAUUAAACUACUGAUGGAAAUUUUCCCCCCAAAUUUUGGGGAAUAAAAUUUCUAUGAACAUUGACAUGGAAAUCUUUGAAUGGACCCAUGAUAAGCAUAACAACAGUCCCCCAAAAGAUCAGAUUCUAAUCUCUUAAACAUCUAAAUGUAAUCUUAUUUAAAAAAUUGACUUUGUAGAUAAGGUUAAAAAUUUGAAAUGAAGAUAUUGUCUUGAAUUUUCUGUGGUCCUUAAACAUGACAGCAAGUGUCCUUAUAGGAAAGGCAGUGGGAGAUUUGUCACUGAUACAUUAAAAAAAAAAAAAAGGUAACAUGGAGACAAAGUAUAAAGAGGCUUGAAAAUGCUGGCCUUGAAGACUAACUAGACUUAUGCAGCCACAACUCAAGAAAUGCCAGCAGCCACCAGGACCUGGAAGAGUUAAGGAAUGAUGGUCUUGGGAGAACCUCAAGGUGAAGUAGAGGUGAGACAUCAUAGUCUUCUCAGAUCCUUCCUGGCUAUGUGCAUUUCCACAUGCCCAGUAAUAUGUUGAAACUUUUCAACACUUUAUUUCACAUAUUUUCCUUAUGAAUUUUUUGUUCUGCGUCUCUUUACUUCAACGGGUGUCUCUGCAUUGGCAGCUGCAAAACUGAACAACUGCUAUUGAUUAUUUUCAGCAAAUGUCAGGGGGAAAUGGAGUUUGACAGCUUGUGGGCUCUGAAUGAGAUUUUAUAAGGACUAUCCCUGUGAAUGGGAUUUUCAGUGAGCUGGGUCAAAUGGUGACUAUUCUUGGGGCCUGGGUCUUUCAGAGACACCCACACCGUUUUCACUUCUCUGGUGACGUUAGGCAGUGGUAGCAAACCUAUUGAAUUUCAAAGCUACCAUAGAGCUGGCAGCUAAAAUAUCACAAAGUUCAUGAUUCUUACUAAGAUUUAGGUAUUUUUCUUGAAUAAAUACUUCUCGUUGCAAAUUUUUGGUUAAUUUCCAGAGGACUGAAAAAUUAUUUUGUUUUGUUUUGUUUUGUUUUUUGCCACUGUUUCUUAUGGAGGCAAAAAUUCCCCAGGUCUUUAUUCCAUCACUCCAGGAGUGCUUCUGCUUACUGACAUUUUGGUGUUCAGUGUCUUGCUCUUAGAAUCUACUGGAACAAAGUAUAGAGUCCUAAAACUUACAAACAGUCCAUCAGUCCUUCACCAGAGUACUGUGGUUAUUUCUCUUGGCUCUGUUUUCCUUACCAUACUAAAAGACAUGAAGGUCAUUUCAUCAAGGUCAUUCUCUGGUGGAUUUUAAGGGCAUACUCUUCCUAAGCCAGGAAUUUCUUGUGUAAUCAGGUUGUGAAAUUUCUAACAGUGGUUAAAAGUUGCUGUAUCAUAUCUCGAUUUCAAACUCUGGGCCAUAUUAUUUCAAGAAUUUGGGUAUUUCAAUACUUAAGAAUAAAUAUCCUCCUUCAUUAAGCCCAUUUCUUCUGGACAAAUUGUAAAAUUUAUGGUUCAAAUCCUUUCCUCAAAGAUGUUGAACAAAGGAGAUGCUCAUGUGUAAUGUACAUGAAAGCCAAACAGGGUGCCUGACAAAUCUUCACCUUGGUGUGCCAUUCUUCUAACUGGAGGAAAUGGUGUCAUAAGCAGUGUUGUGCUUGGGUAGAAAUAGCAGAGGGGACCUGAAUGUAGUUACCUAUUUGUCCUUCACCUUUCCUCUGUGUUUGUGCUUUCUCACGGGUUGCUCCUCACAGAAAUUCUCAUUAGAGGAGGCACUUCGGUAACAUUUCCGCAUGCUUUGACAUUUUUUUUUUUUUGUAGAAAAAUUUUCAUUCUAUUGGGUUAAUUCCACCUCAAGGUAUUUGCAUACAUGGUGUGGGUCUGGCCUUUGACGUUAUCUUCCUGAAUGAUCUCUGAUUGCUCACUCAGGCAUAUUGUAGACACACCGUCUGAUUGAAUCUUGUGCUAUCUUUGCCAAAUCAAAUCUGUAAAGUUCACUUGCAAUUUAAUGUAUUGUUUUUGAGUCAUCUUGACAUUUUGACUUCGUAAGUGUAAACUGAAAACUGCAUUUACUGGAAAUUUGUUUUUAAAAAUAAAACAACAUAUGCCAGAUCCCUGAUCUACGGAUGCUUUAUAAAAUUAGGCAAUGCUUAUGAGGUAAUGCUGCUGAAAGAAAAUUAAAAAUAGGAAAUUUAUCUCUAAUAUUUCUAUGACACAUGAAAGAACAAGACUGGGUUCAAUACCAGAAAAAAACAUGCCAGGAAGUAUGUCAAUG
rnacentral:lncRNA from 1 species